UGGGGAAUCUUGGACAAUGGGGGCAACCCUGAUCCAGCCAUGCCGCGUGAGUGAUGAAGGCCCUAGGGUUGUAAAGCUCUUUCGCCUGUGAAGAUAAUGACGGUAGCAGGUAAAGAAACCCCGGCUAACUCCGUGCCAGCAGCCGCGGUAAUACGGAGGGGGUUAGCGUUGUUCGGAAUUACUGGGCGUAAAGCGCACGUAGGCGGACCAGAAAGUUGGGGGUGAAAUCCCGGGGGCUCAACCCCGGAACUGCCUCCAAAACUAUUGGUCUAGAGUUCGAGAGAGGUGAGUGGAAUUCCAAGUGUAGAGGUGAAAUUCGUAGAUAUUUGGAGGAACACCAGUGGCGAAGGCGGCUCACUGGCUCGAUACUGACGCUGAGGUGCGAAAGUGUGGGGAGCAAACAGGAUUAGAUACCCUGGUAGUCCACACCGUAAAACGAUGAAUGCCAGUCGUCGGGUAGCAUGCUAUUCGGUGACACACCUAACGGAUUAAGCAUUCCGCCUGGGGAGUACGGUCGCAAGAUUAAAACUCAAAUGAAUU
rnacentral:rRNA from 1 species